rnacentral:rRNA from 1 species
GGACUGAGACACGGCCCACACACCUACGGGUGGCAGCAGUUGGGAAUCUUGCACAAUGGGGGAAACCCUGAUGCAGCGACGCCGCGUGGAGGAUGAAGGGUCUAGGCCUGUAAACUCCUUUUAUGGGGAAAGACUUAGGACGGUACCCCAUGAAUAAGGACCGGCUAACUACGUGCCAGCAGCCGCGGUAAGACGUAGGGUCCAAGCGUUAUCCGGAUUUACUGGGCGUAAAGCGCGCGUAGGCGGUCUGUUAAGUGCACAAGUGAAAGCUCCGGGCUCAACUCGGAAAUUGCUUUGCAUACUGGCAGGCUGGAGGGACGCAGAGGUCUGUGGAAUUCCUGGUGUAACGGUGAAAUGUGUUGAUAUCAGGAGGAACACCCAUGGCGAAGGCAGCAGACUGGGCGUUUCCUGACGCUGAGGCGCGAAAGCGUGGGUAGCAAACAGGAUUAGAUACCCUGGUAGUCCACGCCCUAAACGAUGGAUACUAGGCGUAGGAGGUAUCGACCCCUCCUGUGCCGCAGCAAACGCAUUAAGUAUCCCGCCUGGGGAGUACGGCCGCAAGGUUGAAACUCAAAUGAAUUGACGGGGACCCGCACAAGCGGUGGAGCAUGUGGAUUAAUUCGAUACUAACCGAAGAACCUUACCCACUCUUGACAUUGAAGGAAAGCUCUAGAGAUAGAGCCCUCUCUCACAAGGAGACCUGAAAACAGAUGUUGCAUGGCUGUCGUCAGCUCGUGCCGUGAGGUGUACGGUUAAGUCCGCCAACGAGCGCAACCCUCGUUCUGUGUUACCAGCGAGUAAUGUCGGGCACUCACAGGAGACCGCCGGUGUAAGCCGGAGGAAGGUGGGGAUGAUGUCAAGUCAGCAUGGCUCUUACGAGUGGGGCUUCACACAUGCUACAAUGGGCGCAACAAAGGGCAGCGAUACCGCGAGGUGGAGCAAAUCCCAAAAAUACGUCCUCAGUUCAGAUUGCAGUCUGCAACUCGACUGCAUGAAGGCGGAAUCGCUAGUAAACGCAGGUCAGCUAUACUGCGUUGAAUACGUUCCCGGGUCUUGUACACACCGCCCGUCAAGUCACUUGAAUUGUCUUCACCCGAAGUCCGUGGCCUAACCCGCAAGGGAAGGAGCGGCCGAAGGUGAGGGGGGUAAGAGGGACUAAGUCGCAACAAGGUACCCGUACCGGAAGGUGUGGGUG